rnacentral:rRNA from 1 species
AUUGAACGCUGGCGGCAUGCCUUACACAUGCAAGUCGAACGGUAACGCGGGGCAACCUGGCGACGAGUGGCGAACGGGUGAGUAAUGUAUCGGAACGUGCCCAGUUGUGGGGGAUAACUGCUCGAAAGAGCAGCUAAUACCGCAUACGACCUGAGGGUGAAAGCGGGGGAUCGCAAGACCUCGCGCAAUUGGAGCGGCCGAUAUCAGAUUAGGUAGUUGGCGGGGUAAAGGCUCACCAAGCCGACGAUCUGUAGCUGGUCUGAGAGGACGACCAGCCAAACUGGGACUGAGACACGGCCCAGACUCCUACGGGAGGCAGCAGCGGGGAAUUUUGGACAAUGGACGCAAGUCUGAUCCAGCCAUGCCGCGUGCGGGAAGAAGGCCUUCGGGUUGUAAACCGCUUUUGUCAGGGAAGAAACGCUCUGGGUUAAUACCUCGGGGUAAUGACGGUACCUGAAGAAUAAGCACCGGCUAACUACGUGCCAGCCGCCGCAGUAA